UUGGUGGUGGAAAAGAAAGCCUGCCACAGUGAGUUGACAGCUUUUAGGAAAGAGGGUUGUCCUAUAUAUGAAAGACUGCACUGGAAGCAUGAGAACAGCU
ensembl:snoRNA